AAAAAAAAAAAACAAAAGAUGGAUGCAACGAAAGUAACGGUAUGAAGUUCCAUGAAAGAUUCAAGAGACAAAGGUGAAUAUCAAGGUUAAAACUUUUAUUAUAUACAAUAUAUAAUUUAUUAUGUUAUUUUUGAUCAAAUAAUGAGUAUU